UACGUAGGGGGCUAGCGUUGUCCGGAUUUAUUGGGCGUAAAGAGCGUGUAGGCGGCCAGGUAGGUCUGCUGUGAAAACUCGAGGCUCAACCUCGAGACGUCGGCGGAAACCAUCUGGCUAGAGUCCGGAAGAGGAGAGUGGAAUUCCUGGUGUAGCGGUGAAAUGCGCAGAUAUCAGGAAGAACACCCGUGGCGAAGGCGGCUCUCUGGGACGGUACUGACGCUGAGACGCGAAAGCCAGGGGAGCGAACGAG
rnacentral:rRNA from 1 species